GCGGGGUGAGCACCGUACCCCUCACAAUCUCUUCUCUGGAGCACCGCACAAUCUCCUUGCAUGCUUCGACGGAGUCACACGCCACCAAGCCGUCUAGGAGGUGGCAACCUCCAAGAGUAACAAGCACCACCGGCUUGCAACACGAACACCUAGUGCCACUCAAUGCAAUCUCUCAAUGCAACGCACUAGAAUCACUCACUCGCUAUUGAUUCGCACUCUUGCAAGCAUAAGUGAGUUAGAGGCAUUCCUAGCACUCCCCAAUCAUGGACACUAAGUCCCAAGGGUG
rnacentral:lncRNA from 1 species